UACGAAGGGUGCAAGCGUUACUCGGAAUUACUGGGCGUAAAGGGCGCGUAGGCGGCCUUCUAAGUCGGACGUGAAAUCCCUCGGCUUAACCGAGGAACUGCGUCCGAUACUGAAAGGCUUGAAUCCGGGAGAGGGAUGUGGAAUUCCAGGUGUAGCGGUGAAAUGCGUAGAUAUCUGGAGGAACACCGGUGGCGAAGGCGGCAUCCUGGACCGGCAUUGACGCUGAGGCGCGAAAGCUAGGGGAGCAAACGGG
rnacentral:rRNA from 1 species